rnacentral:misc_RNA from 1 species
GAUGAAGAACGUAGUGAACCGCGAUAUUUUUUGUGACUUGCAGAUGUGAAUCAUCAAUCUUUGAACGCACAUUGCGCCCGCUAGUAUUCUGGCGGGCAUGCCUGUCCGAGCGUCAUUUCAACCCUCAAGCCCCCGGGCUUGGUGUUGGGGAUCGGCGAGCCUCCGCGCCCGCCGUCCCCUAAAUCUAGUGGCGGUCUCGCUGUAGCUUCCUCUGCGUAGUAGCACACCUCGCACUGGGAAACAGCGCGGCCACGCCGUUAAACCCCCAACUUCUGAACGUUUGACCUCGGAUCAGGUAGGAAUACCCGCUGAACUUAAGCAUAUCAAUAAGCGGAGGA